GGGAGGAAAGCGCGGUGCCGCGCAAGACGGACUCUGCGGCGACGAUGGUUACGAAAUGGCGCUCGAGUAGCGCGCGUCGUAUGUUCGCCAAAGCGCUGCAUGAGCGGAAGUCUGUCUGCGGCGGCUGCUGCGAAUCGCGCCCACGCGUCACCCACUCG
rnacentral:lncRNA from 1 species